rnacentral:rRNA from 1 species
AUACGGAGGAUGCGAGCGUUAUCCGGAUUUAUUGGGUUUAAAGGGAGCGUAGGUGGGAUAUUAAGUCAGCUGUGAAAGUUUGGGGCUCAACCUUAAAAUUGCAGUUGAUACUGGUUUCCUUGAGUACGGUACAGGUGGGCGGAAUUCGUGGUGUAGCGGUGAAAUGCUUAGAUAUCACGAAGAACUCCGAUCGCGAAGGCAGCUCACCGGGCCGGAACUGACACUGAUGCUCGAAAGUGCGGGUAUCAAACAGGAUUAGAUACCCUGGUAGUCCGCACAGUAAACGAUGAAUACUCGCUGUUUGCGAUACACGGUAAGCGGCCAAGCGAAAGCGUUAAGUAUUCCACCUGGGGAGUACGCCGGCAACGGUGAGACUCAAAGGAAUUGACGGGG